CUUGUGGAGUGCUAUAUCAAAUUGUGGUAGCGAAUAAGUGGCGAAGCGAGGCACAUAGAAGCAAGAA
rnacentral:sRNA from 15 species